rnacentral:rRNA from 1 species
AGCGGUGCUGACGUGCAAAUCGCUCGUCAAAUUUGAGUAUAGGGGCGAAAGACUAAUCGAACCAUCUAGUAGCUGGUUUCCUCCGAAGUUUCUCUCAGGAUAGCAGGCCCAAAUUAUGUUGUUGUGUGUGGUAAAGCGAAUGAUUAGCAUACUCGGGGGCAUUAAGUCUUCGGAUGAUUCUCAAACUUUAAAUGCGCACGGAUAUUGCCGCUUAAUUGGGCGAUAUCGUUAAAAACUUGGGCUUUGUGGGCCAUUUUUGGUAAGCAGAACUGGCGAUACGGGAUGAACCGUAAGCGUGGUUAAGGCGUCAAAGUGUCCGCUUAAAGAUCCCAAAAAAGGUGUUGAUUCAUCGAGACAGCAGGACGGUGGCCAUGGAAGUCGGAAUCCGCUAAGGAGUGUGUAACAACUCACCUGCCGAAUGAAUUAGCCCUGAAAAUGGAUGGCGCUAAAGCGGGCCGCCGACACCACGUCGUUUAUGCAAAGAAAUACAUAAUUAAGCUUAAAUGAGUAGGAGGAACGUGGUGGUUGUACCGAAGCGUGCGUGCAAACGUGCGUGGAACGGCCACUAGUGCAGAUCUUGGUGUAAGUAGCAAAUAUUCAAGCGAGAACCUUGAAGGGCGAAGCGGGGAAGGGUUCCACGCGAACAUUGAUUGGGCGUGGGUGAGUCGUUCCUAAGCCGCGUGGCAAUAGCUAAUUACCGGCGAAAGGGAAGCAGGUUGACAUUCCUGCACACGGAUGUGGUUAGCGGUGACGCAUAUAUGUAAAUUGAGGAGGCGGUGAAGCUGGCGGUGGCUCUGGGCAGAGUUUUCUUUUCUGUUUAACUGACUUGAAUUCCGUCGUGUGGAAUCCGCUUGUCGGGAGAAACACACGGGUUUAGGAAUAGCGCCGGGACUUUUUCCGGGCGUCCAGAUCGCCAUCGUCGGACCUUGAAAAACUGCCUGCAGGCGCAAGCCUAUAAAUCUAGUGAUACGAUUUGAAAAUCCACGCCGUGACGUACCGAUUCCGAGCA